UGGGGAAUAUUGGACAAUGGGCGCAAGCCUGAUCCAGCCAUACCGCGUGGGUGAAGAAGGCCUUCGGGUUGUAAAGCCCUUUUGUUGGGAAAGAAAUCCAGCUGGGCUAAUACCCGGUUGGGAUGACGGUACCCAAAGAAUAAGCACCGGCUAACUUCGUGCCAGCAGCCGCGGUAAUACGAAGGGUGCAAGCGUUACUCGGAAUUACUGGGCGUAAAGCGUGCGUAGGUGGUUAUUUAAGUCCGUUGUGAAAGCCCUGGGCUCAACCUGGGAACUGCAGUGGAUACUGGAUGACUAGAAUGUGGUAGAGGGUAGCGGAAUUCCUGGUGUAGCAGUGAAAUGCGUAGAGAUCAGGAGGAACAUCCAUGGCGAAGGCAGCUACCUGGACCAACAUUGACACUGAGGCACGAAAGCGUGGGGAGCAAACAGGAUUAGAUACCCUGGUAGUCCACGCCCUAAACGAUGCGAACUGGAUGUUGGGUGCAAUUUGGCACGCAGUAUCGAAGCUAACGCGUUAAGUUCNNCGCCUGGGGAGUACGGUCGCAAGACUG
rnacentral:rRNA from 1 species